rnacentral:rRNA from 1 species
AUGAACGCUGGCGGCGUGCCUAAUCCAUGCCAGUCGAGCGAACAGACGAGGAGCUUGCUCCUCUGACGUUAGCGGCGGACGGGUGAGUAACACGUGGAUAACCUACCUAUAAGACUGGGAUAACUUCGGGAAACCGGAGCUAAUACCGGAUAAUAUAUUGAACCGCAUGGUUCAAUAGUGAAAGACGGUUUUGCUGUCACUUAUAGAUGGAUCCGCGCCGCAUUAGCUAGUUGGUAAGGUAACGGCUUACCAAGGCAACGAUGCGUAGCCGACCUGAGAGGGUGAUCGGCCACACUGGAACUGAGACACGGUCCAGACUCCUACGGGAGGCAGCAGUAGGGAAUCUUCCGCAAUGGGCGAAAGCCUGACGGAGCAACGCCGCGUGAGUGAUGAAGGUCCUCGGAUCGUAAAACUCUGUUAUUAGGGAAGAACAAAUGUGUAAGUAACUAUGCACGUCUUGACGGUACCUAAUCAGAAAGCCACGGCUAACUACGUG